CUGUAUGUUGACAUCUACGCGCUGAAAAAAAAUGCUAGCUGUACUACUAGUUUGUCAGCGAUGCUGUAUAUAAAACAUACAUAGGUUAUUUCGUUGUUUUCAGCUUGGCAAAUAAGACAAGUUGUAGAGAGCGUCACUUAUAACUUUGUAUGUAUGUAUGUAUGUAUUAUUAUGAGUGAAGAUGAUGACCUCUGUAAUAUCUGACCAGUUUCGAAUGCUACUCCAUCAUAAAUUUAAAUCAACUACAAAAUUAUUAAGUGUAAGAAAAUUAAAAGUUUGUAAUGCUCCAUUGUAUUCUGAAGUUGCCUAUGUCACACCAAAAGGCCCAGACUUCCUCCAGCAAGGUAAAGAGGAAUAUGUAGGCCUGGGACUGAAGUUAUGGCACAGAAGAUGCUUUUCCACCAGCCACUCAGUAGGAGGGAAAGAUGGUGACAAGAAGCAGCAGACAUUGGAGGAUGUCGCCAGGCUGAUAAAACACAAUGAAUACAGGAGGAUUGUAGUGAUGGCUGGGGCUGGAAUAAGCACACCCAGUGGAAUCCCUGAUUUCAGGUCACCUGGAAGUGGUUUAUAUGAUAACCUCCAGCAGUAUGAUAUCCCCUAUCCUGAAGCCAUAUUUGAGAUCAACUAUUUCCACCAUAACCCAAAGCCAUUUUUCGCCCUGGCUAAAGAGCUUUACCCUGGCAAUUACAAACCCAAUUACACCCACUACUUCAUUCGACUCCUGCACGACAAGGGGCUGCUGCACCGCAUCUACACCCAGAACAUUGACGGACUGGAGAGAUUGGCAGGUAUUCCUUCCACUAAACUUGUGGAGGCCCAUGGAACGUUUGCUACAGCGACCUGUACCGUGUGCCGAACAUCAUACCCCGGAGAAGACUUAAGAGCUGAUAUACUUGAGAGUAAAGUCCCCAAAUGCCCCACCUGUAAAGGUGUCAUCAAACCAGAUAUUGUGUUCUUUGGAGAGGAGCUCCCACAGUGCUUCUUCCUGUAUCUAACAGACUUCCCUGUGGCUGACCUGCUUGUCGUCAUGGGAACCUCCCUGGAGGUUCCUUUUUUGUUCAGGUUGAACCCUUUGCCAGCUUGGCAGGCGCUGUGCGGAACUCCGUGCCCCGGGUUCUCAUCAAUCGAGACCUGGUGGGACCCUUUGUCUAUCGAGCCCCCAGACACAACGAUGUGUUGGAGCUAGGGGAUGUGGUGAGUGGAGUGGAGAGGUUUGCUGAUAAACUGGGCUGGAAAGAGGAGCUGAACAAACUCAUUGCAGUGGAAACUGGAAAGCUGAAGAUUAAUAAGAAGGAAGAAUGAAGACUAACACAUUUUCUGCAUAGUAAAUAUUUGGUAUAUGGGAAAUGUUUGGAUUUUUAUGUCAUAAGAAAAUACCCCAAAACUCACCUGGAUUAAUACUGAAGUAAAUCAGGAGAUACCAACUAAAUACACGUAUCAAACACCUGUGUAGCAACUGUUUGGAGCCAGUUUGAUAAGCUGUAAGAUUAUAUUUUUAAUUAAGAAUUAAAAAUACAUUAAUUUAAUAAACCUAUAAAUAAAUAAAUACAUAAAUAAAUA